rnacentral:rRNA from 1 species
UAAGACCUAUAAUGUGGGGACACACAUUGAUUUAAUUUCCUUGGUAUUCCCACGUCUAUAAACGUAGAUACUAGUCGGCCACCCGUUUCUGAUUCACCUCUUUUACGCUUCCCCCCCUUGAGUAGUACCGUUCGCAAGGCUUGAAACUUAAAGGAAUGGACCGGCACCCCGCACCAAGCGGUGGAGCAUGCUGUUUAAUCGACGAUACGCGAAAAACCUUACCUAGAUUUGACAUCCCGAUGACCGUCCUAGAAAUAGGGCUUUCUCUCGGAGACAUCGGUGACAGGUGGUGCAUGGUUGUCGUCAGCUCGUGUCGUGAGAUGUUCGGUUAAGUCCGAUAACGAGCGCAACCCUUGUCCUUAAUUGCUAACAUUAAGUUGAGAACCUUAAGGAGACUAUCGGUGAUAAACCGGAGGAAGGUGGGGAUGACGUCAAAUCAUCAUGCCCCUUACAUCUAGGGCUACAGGCGUGCUACAAUGGCCAAGAUAAUGAGACGCAAAAUACCGUGAGGUGGAGCAAAUCUUCAAAAUUGGUCCCAGUUCGGACUGGAGUCUGCAACUCGACUCCACGAAGUUGGAAUCGCUAGUAAUCCCGAAUCAGAAUGUCGGGGUGAAUACGUUCCCGGGUGUUGUACACACCGCCCGUCACGCCAUGGGAGUUGGUAAUACCCGAAGCUGGUAGCCUAACCUGUUUACAGGAGGGGGCCAUCGAAGGUAGGAUCAGCGACUGGGGUGAAGUCGUAACAAGGGACCU